ACUGUUUAGUGUGUCCAGGUCAUGAAUGGCAGGAAACUUAGGAUGUGUUUAGCAGACCAAGUAAAUACAUGUUUGUGAAUUAGCAGUGUGUUUUCAUAAAUCUUUUAACAGUGAUAGAAGCCAUUUUCUGAAGUUUUUCUCUUGGGACUGGAUUUCCUUACUGUUUUGGGAAAUAGUAAAAGAGAUUAAAGGAAAACUGUUUUAAUCUCUUUUACCAUUUCCCUCCCUUCCACCUCCCUAAAAAAUCCUAUUUUCACCAAUAUAUUUGGAGGGUGACAACUUAGGUAUUUUGGUGGGAUCUUUCCUGAGAUACAGUCUCUGAGUAAGUUCUGUCUUUGAAUAAUUCUAGGAAAAAUGUGUCCAGAUUUGAAAUUUUUCUUACAAAACCUUCUAGACCAGAAAAAUACUUAAAGCGUCCACUUACGUUUUAGCUUUGUUGUUGCCACUGCCAUCUUCGUAUCCAGAGUAUAAUCUGGCUCCUAGCUCUAGGGACUCAGGGUCUGUGGACCUUGACCACUGUUGUAUCUGGCUUUGUUCCUUUAAAUGGCAUAUUUGUUAUUGCAAAGGACAGAAACAUUUGAGCAUGGAUUUCUAAAAGGAGAUAGGAUUGUAUGCACAUACUUCUUUCUUCUCCCAUCCUCUUCCCCUGCUCUCUUUUAGCCAGCCCUCCAAAGAAAACACCUAAAAGUGGGAAAUAAGUUUUCCUUAAAUAACCUCCCUGUAACUGAUAGUCAUUAGUGAAUCCUUUGCUUUUAGCCAUCAGUGUAAGUCUUCAUGUAAUUGCUGGUGGCAAGUACUGAUGUUCCCUUCUUGGGCCUGAUGAACUAGUUAAUUACCCUGUUUAAAAGGGAAUAUAAACA